rnacentral:rRNA from 1 species
UACGUAGGGGGCGAGCGUUGUCCGGCAUCAUUGGGCGUAAAGCGCGUGUAGGCGGCCCGGUAAGUCCGCUGUGAAAGUCCAGGGCUCAACCCUGGGAUGCCGGUGGAUACUGUCGGGCUCGAGUCCGGAAGAGGCGAGUGGAAUUCCUGGUGUAGCGGUGAAAUGCGCAGAUAUCAGGAGGAACACCAAUGGCGAAGGCAGCUCGCUGGGACGUGACUGACGCUGAGACGCGAAAGCGUGGGGAGCAAACAGG